AAAGCUGAGCACUCGGACGCACUUUCACAGGCCCUCCUUCACACUGGACUCAUUUGGCUUCUCAGUACUCGGAAGAGUGGACACUUCUACACAAGGUGUCUGUUCCCAGCAUAAUCCUCAUAAAAUGCAAUUCAUCCUCUGUGUAGACCUGGUAACAGUUCUGAUAUCAGAGAGAGGAACUCUUUCUCAGACCCAUUAAGGAGGCCCAGCUCCUAAGUUUCUGAGUGGCUUUUGGUAUGUAUACUAUUUUUUCAUCCCCAAUUUAGUGCUAGUCUUCAAUCCAAAUUAAUAAAAAAAUCCAAUUAUAUGAAGAUAUUUAAAUGAAUUGAAGAUGGAAUCAU
rnacentral:lncRNA from 1 species